rnacentral:misc_RNA from 1 species
UGGCUCCCGCAUCGAUGAAGAACGCAGCGAAACGCGAAAUGUAAUGUGAAUUGCAGAAUUUACGUGAAUCAUCGAAUCUUUGAACGCAUCUUGCGCUCUUUGGUAUUCCGAAGAGCAUGCAUCUUUGAGUGUCGCAAACCUCUCACGCCCCCGGUCUUAAUCCGGCGCGGCUGUGGACCGUGGCCGUCUGGCCGGCGUCUCUGGCGUCGGCCCGGCCGAAAUACAUGCGGAGCGCAUCUGCUGCCGCGACGACCGAGCGUUGUAGACCCCUCGCUUGGACCCGUUGUUCCGUGCGCAGGCUCCUCGCCUCUUAUCAAUUCGACCUCAAAUGAUGUAGGAUUACCCGCUGA